UGGUGGUGCAUGGCCGUUCUUAGUUGGUGGAGUGAUUUGUCUGGUUAAUUCCGAUAACGAACGAGACCUUAACCUGCUAACUAGUCUAUUACAUUUCAUGUAAUUUGACUUCUUAGAGGGACUAUGUAUAUCAAGUACAUGGAAGUUUGAGGCAAUAACAGGUCUGUGAUGCCCUUAUAUGUCCUGGGCUGCACGCGUGCUACACUGAUGCAUACAACAAGUGCCUAGCUAGACAUAGUAUGGCAAUCUGGAAUAUGCAUCGUGAUGGGGAUAGAUCUUUGCAAUUA
rnacentral:rRNA from 1 species